rnacentral:rRNA from 1 species
UACGGGGGGAGCAAGCGUUGUUCGGAUUUACUGGGCGUAAAGGGCGCGUAGGCGGCCACCGCAAGUCGACUGUGAAAUCUCCGGGCUUAACCCGGAAAGGUCAGCCGAUACUGCGGGGCUAGAGUGCAGAAGGGGCAACUGGAAUUCUCGGUGUAGCGGUGAAAUGCGUAGAUAUCGGAAGGAACAUCAGUGGCGAAAGCGGCUUCCUGGACCAGCACCGACGUUCAGGCACGAAAGCGUGGGGAGCAAACAGG